rnacentral:tRNA from 1 species
ACCUGUGGGGCUCAGUGGUUUAAGCAUCUGACUUCAGCUCAGGUGAUGAUCUCACAGUUCGAGUUCAAGUCCCGAACCAGGUG